ensembl:lncRNA
GGGCAGGUCCGCACCCCAGGGCUUCCUCUUGUUUAGCGUGCGUGCCUCUCACUCCCACGGCUCUCCCGGCCCAGCGAGUAGUGGCGGUGCUUCCCCGGGGGACUCUCCCAACCCCUGGGGGUCCAGCCACCUGCAGCAGGUGUGUGGCCGCUCCCCCAGCUGCCGUGUUUGCAGGAUGCCCGCGUGGAUGACCGGCAUCCUCUCUUGAACUUCAGCUCUGCGAGGACGGGCAUCUUUGCCUGUUCCCUUCACCAGUGGGUCCCGGUCGCCUGGCACAUACAAGUACUUAUGGAGCCCACUGUAUGCAGGGCCGGCAGCACAGGUUCCUGCCCUCAGGGCGCAGACCCUCUGGUCAAGAGCAAUUGUGACGUCAACUGGUAAAGGGGAGGAAAGAUGAAGCCAGAGACGGGCUGCCGGGAGGAGGGGUCAGCCGACCAGGCAGGGGUAGGCCCGGGGCUCCCAGCCCCACCCCGCUCUCCCCCCGGCUGCCAGAUGCUGGGCUGUCGUAACUGCGGGCAGCUCGGGUUGCCAAACACCACCACAGCUGCGUCACUGAGAGCCUGGGGGGCCCAGAGGCUGGGGGGUGGGGGCAGCCCCCUUACCCAGGCUGGUUUCGGCCCCCAGGUCAGCCAGGGCUGGGUCAAAGUUCAGCCCGGCAUCCACGCUUAGUCACUCUCCGCAGUGGGGCUGCCUGGCUACUUGCUGCUGUGGUUUGUUUUCAGCUUUUGCACCAGGAGAUCAGGAAUCCGCAUCUCUGCCUCCAAGAGAGAAAUGAAGCACGCCGGGGCCGGGAGACCUCAGGGCCUCCCCCACGCCCUCCCUCCAAAGGGGCCUUCAUCCUGAGCUUGGCCUUCAGGACCCUGUGUGUGACGUCACAGUGUGACCUUGCCGACCUCUGUGUGUCCCUGGGCAGGUCACUUAACCUCUCUGUAAGGAUGUGGGAUUUUAACUCCCCGACCAGGAGCUCCCCUGCAUGGGAAACACCGAGUCUCAGCUACUCGACCACCAGGGAAGUCCCUCAACAACUUUUUUGAGCACCUACUAAACUCCAGUCUGCAGGGAUAUGGAAACGAAGAAAACAGGCAAAAAUCUCUGUAGAUAUUCUGUUAGUAGAGACAGCCAUCAGAGAUAGUCCACUGCGUGGAGCCGGGACUGGGGGACCACGGUGGCUGGAGGCAGGCAGACGGGAGGGGAGCCUGGAGUCCUGUCCACCCAUCAGAGAACAGGAGGGAGGUCAAGUAACCCCGGAGAUAGGCUCAGGAUGUGGCAGCUGUGGAUUUCUCCCUUCUUCUGGGGAACUGGAUCAGGCAUCAGCAUCACCUCCAGCAUCACCUCCAACAUCAUCCUCCAGCAUCACCUCCAGCAUCACCACCAUCACCUCCAGCAUCACCACCAUCACCUCCAGCAUCACCUCCAGCAUCACCUCCAACAUCAUCCUCCAACAUCACCUCCAGCAUCACCUCCAAAUUCAUCCUCCAGCAUCACCUCCAGCAUCACCACCAUCACCUCCAGCAUCACCACCAGCAUCAUCACCAUCACCUCCAACAUCACCACCAAGACAACACUUGGGCAGUGGCUGUCGGCCAUUGCACUGCUCACUCCUGUCUGGCCAGGCACUUCCGAGAUGGGACCUCCUUGCAGUUCCACAUGGCGUGACGUCCCAGGAGGGUGUUCAUAGCACAUUUAGCACCAGCCCAAGAUUGAAAUCAGAGAAGGCAACGGCACCCAACUCCAGUACUCUUGCUUGAAAAAUCCCAUGGAUGGAGGAGCCUGGUAGGCUGCAGUUCAUGGGGUCGCUGAGGGUUGGACACGACUGAGCGACUUCACUUUCACGCAUUGGAGAAGGAAAUGGCAACCCACUCCAGUGUGGAGAUUCCCAGGGACAGGGGAGCCUGGUGGGCUGCCAUCUAUGGGGUCACACAGAAUCGGACACGACUGAAGUGACUUAGCAGCAGCAGCAGCAAGAUGGAGAUAAGCCCAGUGGUACAUCACCUGUCACCCGUCAAGACCACCAGAUCCAUCCAGAAAGCAGAGGGAGGGGCCGGAUGGUGAAGGAUUUUGGAGCACAGACCUGGGAGCCCGCCUGCCUGAGUCUGAGUCCUACCUCUGCCAAGCACAGCUGUGUGCCACUGGGGAGGCGCCUUGACACUCCAGGCCUCAGUUUCCCCAUCUACAAAAUGGAGAUUAGAACCUCCUGAUAGGAUCGCUUCACCUUUCUGAUGCAUUCAUUAAUCCAUGUAAAGCAUCUGGAACCAUGCCCAGCACACAGUAAAUCCUUUGGAAACCUUUGCUGCCGUUAUUAUUAUUGUGAACAUUAUGGUUAUUAUUCCUCGGCAAAGUGAAAGUCACUCAGUCGUGUCCAACUCUUUGCGACCCCAUGGACUGUAGCCCGCCAGGCUCCUCUGUCCAUGGAAUUCUCCAGGCAAUAAUACUGGAGUGGGUUGCCAUGCCCUCCUUCAGGGGAUCUUCCUGACCCAGGGGUUGAACCCAGGUCUCCCGCAUUGCAGACAGAUUCUUUGCUGUCUAGUGGUGGAAAUAUGGGUUCAUCCUAGGGAGAAAAGGCAGGCCCAAAUGUAAAGCGGGCUGCCAGUUGGAGGAAAAGGCAAGAAGACCAACUCGAUUGUGUGCGUAGCUGCUCGCAGCCUCUCAGGAGAUCUGAGACACUGCAAACACUGGAUUUGGUGCAGGGAGUGUGGACUCGCGGGCAGUGGAGAGCCACCCUGACUUUUCACUCUAUGCUUUUACACCCUCUGUGCUGAGUUCCGUGUGUGUGUGUUUCCUCUGUGCGCUUGCAUGUAUAUUCAAAACCAAACAUGCCAG